CCCGGACGCAGGUGGGGAACCUGUGGCGCCUACAACAAGCAACACGUGGAAUUGAAUGUUGAAGAGCCGCGCGGGGCCGCGGAGUGCGCGUGCGCGCGCCGCCGCUGCUGCCCGGGCCCGCCUGGAGCCCUAGCACACAGUUUGCAAAGGCGGGGAGCGGCCGAGCGCGAUGGCCCGUGUAAGCGUCCACCGGGGCUGCUCCGACUACCCUCACCCUACCACCUGUGAUCUUUUCUCCAGCAGGUGGAGGUGGAAUGGGGAGCGGGGAGGGACUGUUCCCUAGCAAGAGGUUAGGGGGAGCGGCCGAGACAUCUCCCCAACCCGAAUCGGCUGCCUAGGAUUGAACCCCAGCGCGGAAAAGCGGGACUGGAGCCCUUCACCACGAAGUAUCUUUGCGACAAGACUUUGAAAAGUCUCACUCUGCUCUGCUGCCGUUUUGAUACUCAUGCUGAAGCCCAAAUUAUAAAAGUCGGAGUAAUGAAAAAAAAAAGAAAACCAACGAGGCUUACUUUUUAAACUGUUCUAGUCCUGCAGACUCAAGGUGGUUAUUAAGUCAAAGAUCUCCAAGCCUUGAGGAUCCCACAGGAAAACAUCUAAUAAUUUUUAGAGCAGAAUAUACAGUGUUUUCUCCAUGAAGAUGAAGAUGACUUAAGAGGCAUAAAUUAAAGAAAUAUCUAAAAGACAACAAAGAGAAUGUUUAAGCAUCAUUAAACAUACAUUGAUUAAGAAACUAACAUAUGCUAAAGCUAUACUGGAUAUAUUUAGGAAAACAAGAUAUAGGCCGUAAGAAGUUUAUCAGUUAAGGAAUGACAAAUGAAAAAAACAUUUAUUUAAAAUAAUCAAUAUUUGGAUUGCAAUCUGAUGAGUGUUCCAAUAACCUGGAAGAUAAUGGCAAUACAGAGAAGAAACACUUCAUUCAGAAGAUAGUAAGUGAUAUGGUUUGACUCUAUAUCCCCACCCAAAUCUCAUCUCUAAUUGUAAUCCCCACAUGUGGAGGGAGGGACUUGGUGGGAGGUGAUUAAAUCAUGGGGGGCAGUUCCCCCCUGCUGUUCUAUGAUAGUGAGGGCAUUCUCACGAGACGUUUAUGGUUUAAAAGUGGCAGUUUCCCCAUCUCUCUCUCUCUCUCUCUCUUGCUGCCUUCUGAAGAAGGUGUCUGGUUCUCCUUUGCUUUCUGCCAUGACUGUAAGUUUCCUGAGGCCUCCCCAGCCAUGCGGAACUCUGAGUCAAGUAAACCUCUGUUGUUUAUAAAUUACCCUGUCUUAGGUACUGUCUUUAAUAGCAGUGUGGAAACAGACUAAUACAGUAAGAGAAGUCUUCCAGGAUGCUUGACAUAUAUCUUGAAGAAUAAUUUAGAGCUGUCAAGAUGAGGACACUGUAGAUAGGAAGUAAUGCAAAGAUGUGAAAUUGUUUGCCACUUUGGAGAAUUACAAGUAAAGUGGCAUGCCUGAAGUGAAGAAUGUAUGUAAUAUGAAGAUGUGGAAAAUGAGACUAGAGAAUAAGCAGAGGCAAAUUCAGGAUUGGGUCUGUGUGCCAUGCUUUGGAAUUUAAACAUAUCCUGAAGAAAAUGGGGAAAUACAGAAGGGUUUUAAGUAAGGUAAGACAUACUGUGAUCCAUAACUCUUAAGAGUCCAUCUGGAGCAAUAUAAGGGCAAUGAAACCAGAGACAAGCUAUAAAGAGGAGAUUACUAGGGACGUCUGAGAGAGAAACAAUGGGCCUUGAACUUAAGAGAGAGGACAAGAGGAGGAGGAAAGCUGAUGAGAUGGACAAAGGAAUUAAUAGAAUAUGUAUGAGGUGCUGACAAAGAGGGUCAAGCAUAGAAGAUGCUUGUCAGAAUAGUGUAACUUGAUUAAUAAUAGAUAUAAUAUGAUCUUCUAGAAGACAGGUAGGUUUGGAGAAACAUCAGGUCUUUGAGGAGCUUAAAGUACACAUAUGGAUGAUAAGGUCUAGAAAUUAUGUGUUCAGAGUGAGAAGAGGGCCAAUGAAACUUCCUUGCCUCUCCUCUAAUUAAGGGAUGGUUUGAAGAAAAGGAACCUGAAAAGAAGAUCUGAUCAUUAGUUAAUUGUACCCAAAUAAUUUUAAAGUUUUUAAUUUUGUGCUUGCGCUAAUGUUUUGCCAAGUUUCUACCUUACAUAUUAACUUUUCAAGUAAUUAUAACGUUGGUUGAUGCUCUGGAAUCAUUGAUUAAAUGAGGCCCAACAUAAGGCUAUAUUGGGCACACAGCAUAAAUGCACACAAUACACUUAAACUUAUUCAAUGAUUCGUUUUUACUUUUUUCAAGGUGAGCAUAAAAACAAAUUGAAUUUAUACUGCUUUUUAAUGGAACAUCUCUUAUGCUAAGGAAAGAUGGAUGCACAGUAAUAAAAUGGAAUAUAAAAUGUGGUUUUGGCAAUAAUAUUUAAGGAAACAAGUAUGUGACCUGAAUAUCAUAGGUGGGCUGUUUUCUGAAUGAGAAUUAGUUUGUGCAUUUGGCCUCAAAGUAAAUGUUAACUCUUUCAACUCAUAGAUGAAAUCAUUUUUUUCAUAGAACAGACAUUUUUUGGUUUCCCACUUUAGGUUAUGCAUUAUUCUGAAUACAUAAAAGCUAAUAAUUUACCCACUGGGAGAAUGCAUAUGAAAUAGACAGGAGAACAAAUUAAACAAUAAUGAUAAUAUAUGCUCAUGUGUUGUUAGAGAAAAAUUCUCAAAAUAUCCCUUAAGUGUCUUGAAAGUGGACAGUCUAUUAUCUUUUGUGGUAUAGUUAUAACUAAAAUUAUUGUACAACAGAAAGAGGAAUCUUUUUUAGGACAAAUGGAAGAAUCAGUUUUGCAACAUCUAUGGGAAAAC
rnacentral:lncRNA from 1 species